rnacentral:lncRNA from 1 species
UACUAUUUCUUUUUAUUUACCAUCACUUUCUAAAAUGUAUCUUGUAUAUGCAGGAAAUAUCUUGCAGAGCUCUUUAAUACUACCGUCGAUCAUCUUUAUUAUCCACCUCGUAAUUGGACUUUUGCUGUCAGAGAACAUCUCAACAAAAGCCUGGCAGAAGAGGGCCUUUUGAAGGAAUCUAAUCUAUCAAAAACAAAGUUUUUCCUCUCUCACCCUAUUCCAGAAUGCUCAUGUUCAACUGUCAAGGCUACUGAUAUUGUGCAUUCAGGAAAGAACAACAAUCUCCAUCUGUUGUUUGAAGGGCAGGAUGAGUGCCCCAAAUGGAUGCAACAACUAAGAACUCAAGAGGCUAAAGCUGAUGAAGUUGAUUCUCAAGAAGAUGAGAUUGAUUUAAACGGGCAGUCAGAAUCGGAAGGAUACAAUGGAACUGAUGCAAUUCCAUCCCUGGAACAGGAUGAGGAAAUGGAUCCUGAUGAUUAGGAUUAGAUGUACAUAUCUUGCCUUCAUUUUCUUGUUCAUUUCCCUCUAUGCCACCGACGUCAAGCCCCACUCUGGAUUAAUCUUUUCUAAGAGUGUAAAAACUUACAGCAGCAGCAUGCUGCUUUUGGAAUGUCUGGAAGCACUCCCAAUUUUUUUGGGGCCAAAUUAACUGCAAGCACAGUUCUUCAAAUGUGCUUUAGAAGAAUCCGUGCAGUCUGCUUAGAGUUCAUUGCUUGGCAUCUGGACUCCAUUGGUCUCUUCCUUAGAACUCUCCCUCUUUCUCUCCAAGCAGGACAAGUUUUCUCAUCUUCUACAGGUAUACAGCAUACAAAAGAUGUCUAAAUUUCUAGUACUUUGCGACUGCACAAAGCAAAAGUGACACUGUGAAGCCAUAUAUAGUUGACAACGAUUCUUUGAUUUUCAUUUCACAUUUAGGUUGGCCUUCUGCUUCGAGCCAUGGGUUAUCCACCUAGGACAAGAAUAUUCCUAUCAGGUUCUGAAACCUUUGGCGGACAACGGGUUAUGAUUCCUUUACGCGCCAUGUACACCAAUUUAGUUGAUCGUACUUCUUUGUGCAGCAAAACAGAGCUAGCCAAUUUAGUUGGCCCUGAAACCCCCCUUAUUCCUGAUCCUGAUCAGCUUUUACCAGUAAAAAGUCCAAAUCAACUAAAAUCAGAAUGGGACAAGUCUGGUCCCCGCCCAAGGCCUCUACCACCUCCUCCUGAUCGACCUAUUUAUCGACAUGAAAAAGAAGGCUGGUAUGGGUGGGUUGCAGAGAAAGAUAAGGAACCAGAACCUUCUCUCAAUGAUCAGAGGGAGCAAGCACACCGACUGCUAUGGGAUGCUCUUGAUUACAUAGUCUCGGUGGACGCUGAAGUUUUUUUCCCUGGUUUUGACAAUGAUGGUAGUGGGCCUGAUUUUGCUAGCUUGGUGAUGGGACACCGACUUUAUGAGAUGGCAUCUGCAAGAACAUUUCGGCCAAACAGGUAAAACUAACAACACUCCUGGUCCUUUCUUUGUUUGGUGUUUACUAUUUCUUUUUAUUUACCAUCACUUUCUAAAAUGUAUCUUGUAUAUGCAGGAAAUAUCUUGCAGAGCUCUUUAAUACUACCGUCGAUCAUCUUUAUUAUCCACCUCGUAAUUGGACUUUUGCUGUCAGAGAACAUCUCAACAAAAGCCUGGCAGAAGAGGGCCUUUUGAAGGAAUCUAAUCUAUCAAAAACAAAGUUUUUCCUCUCUCACCCUAUUCCAGAAUGCUCAUGUUCAACUGUCAAGGCUACUGAUAUUGUGCAUUCAGGAAAGAAUAACAAUCUCCAUAUGUUGUUUGAAGGGCAGGAUGAGUGCCCCAAAUGGAUGCAACAACUAAGGACUCAAGAGGCUAAUGCUGAUGAAGUUGAUUCUCAAGAAGAUGAGAUUGAUUUAAACGGGCAGUCAGAAUCGGAAGGAUACAAUGGAACUGAUGCAAUUCCAUCCCUGGAACAGGAUGAGGAAAUGGAUCCUGAUGAUUAGGAUUAGAUGUACAUAUCUUGCCUUCAUUUUCUUGUUCAUUUCCCUCUAUGCCACCGACGUCAAGCCUCACUCUGGAUUAAUAUUUUCUAAGAGAGUAAAAAACUUACAGCAGCAGCAUGCUGCUUUUGGAAUGUCUGGAAGCACUCCCAAUUUUUUUGGGGCCAAAUUAACUGCAAGCACAGUUCUUCAAAUGUGCUUUAGAAGAAUCCGUGCAGUCUGCUUAGAGUUCAUUGCUUGGCAUCUGGACUCCAUUGGUCUCUUCCUUAGAACUCUCCCUCUUUCUCUCCAAGCAGGACAAGUUUUCUCAUCUUCUACAGGUAUACAGCAUACAAAAGAUGUCUAAAUUUCUAGUACUUUGCGACUGCACAAAGCAAAAGUGACACUGUGAAGCCAUAUAUAGUUGACAACGAUUCUUUGAUUUUCAUUUCACAUCUUAAAUGUUUUUAAAGUAGAUGUUCGAACCUUUUGGCUAUUGAGUGGUUUCGAAUGCAACUAGCUUUACAGUAUAUUGAAAUUGUCUCUAGAGGAGUAAAGACCUAGUAGGAAAUGUAGUAGUGGAGGACCUGCAGAAUAAUGGUGCCUAUGCCAUAAGCUGAAGUCACAUGGUGCAAGUCCGUUGGCCUUGUUCAAGCUCCAAAAGUUAUAUGGCUAAACAAUACAUACCGCCUACGGGGAUACAACAAUUACUUCUCAAAAUGGUGCUGAGACUUGUUGGCUGCUGCCUAGAAUUUGCAGAGCCAGUUGUGGUGUAUUCAUGUUGGGACUAUAUUUCUUAGUGAUUUUCUUUUCGGAAAUUGUAAGCAUGGCGAUCACGAUUAUAGUAAAAUAGUACUACUAUGUUAGAGAAGCAGAUUUAGGAUUGUCAUUGAGGCCGCUUCAGUACUUUUUGACCUAUAACUAAUUCUUGCAUUAGGGUAGGCUGUCCACAUCACACCCCUUGGGGUGUUGUCCUUCUAUAAGGCGAGCGGGAUGUUUUGUGCACCUAGCUAACCUUUUAAUGAGGUUGCUUCAGCAGUAGUUCAUCUC